CUGCAUUUUCAAAUCCGCCAACCACACUUGGUUUUAUAACCUAGAAGGUUUGCAACAGAACAACAUCAAGAUCAGUACGUAAUAUAUGCUGAAGUGAUGUGAAGGACGUUAAGCCUCACAACAGAAAAUCUUUAAUAACGACACAUUUGUGAGGUGUCCUGGAAACCUAUAUUCUUUUCUUCUACAUUACACAUGAAGUCAGCCCAUGAACAUAAGAUGCAGGGGACAACAAUUCCGUAAGAGGACAAGGAGAGAAAAGAAAUGGGGUUUCACAAGUCACUUACGAUAGCAACAAUUCCUGGAUGGGCAUACUUGGCAAGUUCUUUCACAGGAUUAUCUUGAAUACGAUCGAUAGUUUCAUCCAGUGCGACAG